rnacentral:rRNA from 1 species
GCGCGAAAACUUUACAAUGCUGGCAACAGCGAUAAGGGAACCUCGAGUGCCAGGUUACAAAUCUGGCUGUCGAGAUGCCUAAAAAGCAUUUCAUAGCAAGGGCCGGGCAAGACCGGUGCCAGCCGCCGCGGUAACACCGGCGGCUCGAGUGGUAACCGUUAUUAUUGGGUCUAAAGGGUCUGUAGCCGGCCGGAUAAGUCUCUUGAGAAAUCUGGCAGCUUAACUGACAGGCUUUCAGGAGAUACUGUCUGGCUCGAGGCCGGGAGAGGUGAGAGGUACUUCAGGGGUAGGGGUGAAAUCUUGUAAUCCUUGAAGGCCACCAGUGGCGAAGGCGUCUCACCAGAACGGACCUGACGGCAAGGGACGAAAGCUAGGGGCACGAACCGGAUUAGAUACCCGAGU